CAGCAGUCUCCGUGUGAGUGCGCGUAGUCGCGCGCCUGUCCCCGCGCGGGCUCCGUAGCGCGUGUGCAGGCUGACGCAGCUCGCGGGCCCUCCUCCUGCUCUGCAGCGGCGUCGGCGGAGUUUUGGGCGUUUGGGAGGGGGGCGAGGGAGAGAGAGUCGAGAGAGGAAGGCGGCGGCGGCGGCGGCGGGGAGGAGGAGGAGGAGGAGCAGGCGCCGCCAUGGCCGCCGCUAUCACCGACAUGGCCGACCUGGAGGAGCUCUCCCGCCUGAGCCCUCUGCCCCCCGGUAGCCCGGGUUCGGCGGCGCGGGGCCGGACUGAGCCCCCCGAGGAGGAGGAGGAAGAGGAGGAGGAGGAAGAGGAGGCGGAGGCCGAGGCGGUGGCGGCGCUGCUGCUGAACGGCGGCAGCGGUGGGGGCGGCGGAGGCGGCGGCGGAGGAGUGGGGGGCGGCGAGGCAGAGGCGAUGUCGGAGCCGAGCCCCGAGAGCGCCAGCCAGGCCGGGGAGGACGAAGACGAGGAGGAGGACGACGAGGAGGAGGAAGAUGAGAGCAGCAGCAGCGGCGGGGGUGAGGAGGAGAGUAGCGCCGAGAGCCUGGUUGGCAGCAGCGGCGGGAGCAGCAGCGACGAGACCCGCUCGUUGAGCCCCGGCGCCGCCAGCAGCAGCAGCGGGGAUGGGGACGGCAAGGAGGGCCUGGAGGAGCCCAAGGGACCGCGGGGCAGCCAGGGCGGCGGCGGGGGCGGCAGCAGUAGCAGCAGCGUAGUCUCCAGCGGCGGCGACGAGGGCUACGGGACUGGGGGAGGCGGAAGCAGCGCGACCUCCGGGGGCCGGCGAGGCAGCUUGGAGAUGUCGUCGGAUGGGGAACCCCUGAGCCGCAUGGACUCGGAGGACAGCAUAAGCAGUACUAUAAUGGAUGUAGACAGCACAAUUUCCAGUGGGCGUUCAACUCCAGCAAUGAUGAAUGGACAAGGAAGCACUACUUCUUCAAGCAAAAAUAUUGCCUAUAAUUGUUGUUGGGACCAGUGCCAGGCUUGCUUCAACUCUAGCCCAGAUCUGGCAGAUCACAUCCGUUCCAUACAUGUAGAUGGUCAGCGAGGAGGGGUAUUUGUUUGCUUAUGGAAAGGUUGUAAAGUAUAUAACACUCCAUCUACCAGUCAAAGUUGGUUACAAAGGCAUAUGCUGACACACAGUGGAGACAAACCUUUCAAGUGUGUUGUUGGUGGCUGCAAUGCCAGCUUUGCUUCUCAGGGAGGGCUAGCUCGUCAUGUACCCACACACUUCAGUCAGCAGAACUCCUCAAAAGUUUCUAGCCAGCCAAAGGCCAAAGAAGAAUCUCCUUCUAAAGCUGGAAUGAACAAAAGGAGGAAAUUAAAGAACAAAAGACGACGCUCAUUACCACGGCCACAUGAUUUCUUCGAUGCACAAACACUGGAUGCGAUAAGACAUCGAGCCAUAUGCUUUAACCUCUCAGCUCAUAUAGAAAGUUUAGGGAAGGGACACAGUGUUGUUUUUCAUAGUACUGUAAUAGCUAAGAGAAAAGAAGAUUCUGGGAAGAUCAAACUUUUGCUUCAUUGGAUGCCUGAAGACAUUCUGCCUGAUGUGUGGGUGAAUGAAAGUGAACGACAUCAGUUAAAAACUAAAGUAGUUCAUUUAUCAAAGCUACCCAAAGAUACUGCCUUGCUUUUGGACCCAAACAUAUACAGAACAAUGCCGCAGAAGAGGUUGAAGAGAUGGAGUUUCACUCUUGUUGCCCAGGCUGGUGUGCAAUGGCGCGAUCUUGGCUCACCGCAACCUCCGCUUCCCGGGUUCAAGCGAUUCUUCUGCCUCAGCUUCCUGAGUAGCUGGGAUUAAAGACACCCGCCACCACGCCCGGCUAAUUUUGUAUUUUAAGUAGAGACGGGGUUUCACCAUAUUGACCAGGCUGGUCUCAAACUCCCGACCUCAGGUGAUCUGCCCACCUCGGCCUCCCAAAGUGCUGGGAUUACAGGCGUGAGCCACCGUGCCCAGCCAAGUUUAAUUUUUACACCAAUGAUUCAUUUCUGCUUUUACAGCCUUCUUUGGCUUUCUGACAAGAGCAACUGCUGAGCAGAAGCACUUCAGCCUCGUCUGGCAUUUGAUGAAUUUGAUUAAUGUGUGCUAUGGUAAGUCUAUUCCCCUGUAUAAUUUUAUGGGAGAGGUCAUGUGCAAGUCUGAAUUUAAAAAAAAGAAAAGAAAAAGCCUUGUGCAGAAUUAUUACCUACUCAAUACAUUAUAUAUAUGCCAGAGAUGGCUAAAGCAGCUGUAUGUCAAGGUCUGCAAAAACAUGAAGAAGCUGGCAUGGAAAUUAACACGUUGGUGGUCUGCAAUGUGUUCAAAGUUGAUGUUUCUAAUGACACUUAAAAAAUAGUUAAAAUAUGUAAUGGCUGAUUUCUGACCAGACUAAACUCUCAGCCUGUCUAAUGUUAGGCAGCUUGAUCUAAUCAAUUUCAUCCUUUUCUUUUCCUCAGUCCAAUCUUGCAAUUGCUAUGUCAGUUUCAGUUCACAACAAUACCAGUGCAGACAUGGCGCCUUAAGAUUUUCUCCUUUUCCCUCACGCGGGUCCCAAUUCUAAAUUCCCAAGGGCUGACAUGAUUGACAUUUGCUAUAGCCUGAGGAGGGAGCAUUUCCUUUUGUGGUCUUUCCUUGGUUUGUUUUAUUGGGCAGUGAAUGGCAAGUCUGUCUGUGUUUCUUUGCUUCACCCCAAACACCUUGGCAAAAAUGAAAGCCUUCUAAUUUAGCUGUGUCCUCCUUUACUUAUGUCAGGAAGCCUGAGCCAUAACCUUUGAUUAAAAAAAUUUUUUUUUGUUUUUUGUUUUUGAGACAGGGUCUUGCUCUGUCACCCAGGCUGAAAUGCGGUGGCACGACUACAGCUCAUUGCAGCCUUGACCUCACUGGAGUGUAGUGGCAUGACGGCAGCUCACUGCAGUCCCUAGUAGCUGGCACUUACAGGCAAGUGCCACCAUGCCUGGCUAAUUUUUAAAUUUUUUGUAGAAACAGGGUCUUGCUGGCUGUGCACGGUGGCUCACACCUGUAAUCCCAGCACUUUGGGAGUCCAAAACGGGUGGAUCACGAGGUCAGGAGUUUGAGACCAGCCUGGCCAACAUGGUGAAAUCCUGUCUCCACUAAAAAUACAAAAAAAAAAAAAAAAAAAAAAAUUAGCUGGGCGUGGUGGCGUAUGCCUGUAAUCCCAGCUACUCUGGAGGCUGAGUCAGGAUAAUUGCUUAAACCUGAGAGGCAGAGGUUGCAGUGAGCCAAGAUCAUGCCACAGCACUCCAGCCUGAGUGACAGAGCAAGAUAACGUCUUGAAAAAAAACCCAAAACAAAAAACAAACAAAAAAACCCAGGAUCUUGCUAUGUUGCCCAGGCUGGUCUCAAACACUUGGGCUCAAGCAGUCCUCCUGCCUCAGCCUCCCAAAGUGUUAGGAUUACAGGUGUGAGCCACUGCACCUGGCCUUUUAAAAAUUUUUUAAAUUUAAAUUUUUGUGAAUACAUAGUAGGUACAUAUGUAUGGGGUACAUGGGAUAGUUUGAUAAAGGCAUGCAAUGCAUAAUGAUCACAUUAUUAUGAUUAAGUAAAUGAGGUAUCUAUCACUUCAAUACAUUUAUUGUUUGUGUUAUAAACAAUCCAAUUAUACGCUUUAGUUAUUUUUAAAUGUACAGUUAAAUUAUUGACUACAGUCACCCUGUUGUGCUAUAAUAAAUACUAGAUCUUAUUCAUUCUUUCUAUUUUUUUGUACCUACUAACCAUUCCCACUUCCUCCCCAAUCUUCCCCCACUACCCUUCCUAGCCUCUGGUAAGCAUCAUUUACCCUGUUCUACUCUGUAUCUCCAUGAGUUUAAUUGUUUUAAUUUUUAGCUUCCACAAAUAAGUGAGAAUGCAAAGUUUGUCUUUCUGUGUCUGGCUUAUUUCACUUAACAUAACGACCUCCAGUUCCAUCCACACUGUUGCAAAUGACAGUAUCUUGUUCUUAUUUUAUGGCAGAAUAGUACACCAUUGUGUAUAAGUACCAUAUUUUCUUUAUCCAUUCAUCUGUUCACAGACACUUUGGUUGUUUCCAAAUCUUGUGAAUAGUGCUGCAGUAAACAUGCAAAUGCAGAUCUCUCUUUGAUAUACUGAUUUGCUUUUUUUUUGAGACAGCAUCUUGCUCCACUGCCUAGGCUCCUGGAGUGCAGUGGUGUGAUCAUGGCUCACUCAGGCCUCAACCUUAUGGGCUCAUGCAAUCCUCCUGCCUCAGCCUCCCAAGUAGAUGGGAUUAUAGGUGCGCAGCACCAUGCCCAGCUAAUUUUUAUAUUUUUUGUAGAGAUGAGGUUUUGGCAUGUUGCUCAGACUGGUCUUGAACUCCCGAGCUCAAGCAAUUCUCCUGCCUUGGUCUCCUACAGUGGUGGGAUUACAGGCAUGAGCCACUGCGCCCGACUGGAAUUUCCUUUGCUUUGGAUAGAAAACUAGCAGUGGGAUUGCUGGAUCAUAUGGUAGCUCUAUUUUUAGUUUUUUGAGGAGCCUCCAAACUGUUCUCCACAGUGAUUAUACUAAUUUACCUUCCCACCACCUGUGUACAAGGGUUCUCUUUUCUCCACAUCUUUGCCAGCAUUUGUGAUUGCCUGUCUUUUGGAUAAAAGCCAUUUUAACUGGAGUGAGAUGAUAUCUCAUCAUAGUUUUGAUUUGCAUUAUCUGGUGAUAAUGAUGUUGAGCACUUUUUCAUAUAUCUGUAUGCCUUUUGUAUGUCUUUUGAGAAAUGUUGAUUCUGAUAUUUUGCCCAUUUUUAAUCGGAUUAUUAGAUUUUUUCUUAUAGAGUUCUUAGAGCUCCUUAUAUAUUCUGGAUAUUGAUCCCUUGUCAUGUGAGUAGUUGAAAAUAUUUUCUUCUAUUCUGUGGGUUGUCUCUUCACUUUUUGUUGAUUGUUUCCUUUGCUGUGCAGAAGCUUUCUAACUUGAUGUGAUCCCAUUUGCCCAUUUCUGCUUUGGUUUCCUGUACUUAUGAGGUAUUAUUCAAGAAAUCUUUGCCCAGACUGAUGUCCUGGAGAGUUUCCCAAUGUUCUCUCUCUCUUUAUUGUUAUUAUUAUUAUACAUAAUAGUAUUUAAAAUAUUUUCUUUUAGUAGUUUCAUAGUUUGAGAUCUUAGAUUUCAGUCUUUAAUCCAUUUUGAUUUGAUUUUUGUAUAUGGAGAAAGAUAGGGGCCUAAUUUCAUUCUUUUGCAUAUAGAGAUCCAGUUUUCCCUGCACCAUUUAUUGAGGAGACUGCCUCUUCCCCAGUGUAUGUUCUUGGCACUUUGUCAAAAAUGAGUUCACUGUAGACGUACGGAUUUGUUUUGGGGUUCGCUGUUCUGUCCUAUUGGUCUAUGUGUCUGUCUGUUUUUAUGCCAGUACAAUGCUGUUUUGGUUACUAUAGCUCUGUAGAAGUCAGGUAAUGUGAUUCUUCCAGUUUUAUUCUUUUUGCUUAAAAUUUUCUGUUUUUUUUUUGUUGGUUUUUUUUUGUGUGUGGUUCCAUAUAAAUUUUAGGAUUGUUUUACCUUUUUUUCCCUCUUUUUGAGACAGGGACUCACUCUGUCACCCAGGCUGGAGUGCAGUGGCAUGAUCUCGGCUCACUGCAACCUCUGCCUCCUGGGCUCAGGUGACCCUCCCACCUCAGCCUUCCAAAUAGCUGGGACUACAGGCCUGUGCCACCAUACCCAUCUAAUUUUUGUAAUUUUUUUUAGUAGAAAGGAGGUUUUACCAUGUUGCCCACGUUGAAAUUUAGGAUUGUUUUUUUCUUUUUCUGUGGAGAACGUCAUUGGUAUUUUGAUAGGGAUUGCAUUGAAUCUGUAGAUUGCUUGGGUAGUGUGGACUUUUUAACAAUAUUGAUUCUUCCAAUCUAUGAAGAUGGAAUAUCUUUACGUUUUUUGAUGUCCUCUUCAAUUUCUUGCAUCAGUGUUUUAUAGUUUUCAUUAUAGAGAUCUUUCAUUUCUUUGGUUAAUUCCUAAGUGUUUAAUUUUAUUUGUGGCUAUUGUAAAUGGGAUUACUUUCUUGAUUUCUUUUUCAGAUUUCACUGUUGGCAUAUAGAAAUGCUACCGAUUUUGGUAUGUUGAAAUUGUUUCCUGUAACUUUAUUGAAUUUAUUUAAUAGUUUUUUGGUUGAGUCUUUAGGUUUUUCCAAAUAUAAGGUCAUAUCAUCUGCAAACAAGGGUAAUUUGACUUCUUCCUUUCAAUUUGGAUGAUCUUUAUUUAUUUCUCUUGUCUGAUACCUCCAGUGCUAUGUCGAAUAACAGAGGUGAAAGUGGGCACCUUUGUCAUGUUCCAGAUCUUAGAGAAAAGGCUUUCAGUCUUUCCCCAUUCAAUAUGAUAAUAGCUGUGGGUCUGUCAUAUAUGGCUUUUAUUAUGUUGAGAUAUGUUCCUUCUAUAUCCAGUUAUUUGAGGGUUUUAUCAUGACGGGAUGUUGAAUUUUAUCAAAUGCUUCUUCAACAUCAGUUGAAAGUAAUCACAUGGUUUUUGUCUUUCAAUCUGUUGAUAUGAUAUAUCCCAUUGAUUGAUUUCUAUAUGUUGAACUAUCCUUGAAUCUCUGGAGUAAAUCACACUUGUUCAUGAUGAAUGGUCUUUUGAAUGUGUUGUUGAAUUAGUAUCUUGUUGACGAUUUUCACAUCAAUAUCAGGGAUAUUGACCUAUAGUUUUCUUUUUAAAUGUGUAAUUGUCUGGUGUUGGUAUCGGGGUAAUACUGGCCUUGUGGCAUGAGCUUGGAAGUAUUCCUUCCUUCUUUAUUUUUUGGAAUAGUUUGAGUAGGAUUGAAGUUAAUUCUUCUUUUUUUUUUCUCCCCUCCCUGUCCCUCACCAAUCCCCUGCCCUACUCCGAUGUUAAUUCUUCUUUAAAUGUUUGGUAAAAUUCAGCAGUGAAGCCAUCGGGCCCAGGUCUUUUCUUUGCUGAGAGACCUUUUAUUAUGAAUGGCUUCAAUCUCAUUACUUGUUAUUGGUCUGUUCAGGUUGUGGGUUUCUUCAUGGUUUAAUCUUGGUAGAUUGUAAGUAUCUAGGAAUUUAUAAAUUUCUUCUAGAUUUUCCUAUUUAUUUAUUUUUAAUUAUUUAUCAAUUUUUUUUAUUUCCAUAGGUCUUUGGGGAACAGGUGGCAUUUGGUUACAUGAGUAAGUUCUUUAGUGGUGAUUUGUGAGAUUUUGGUGCACCCAUCACCCGAACAGUAUACACUGAACCCAAUUUGUAGUCUUUUAUUCCUCACCCGCUUUCCACCCUUUCCUCCUGAGUCCCCAAAGUUCACUGUGUUAUUCUUACACCUUUGCAUCCUCAUAACUUAGCUCUCACUUAUGAGUGAGAAUGUAUGAUGUUUAGUUUUCCAUUCCUGAGUUACUUCACUUAGAUUAAUAGUCUCCAAUCUAUCCAGGUUGCUAUGAAUGCUGUUAAUUUGUUCCUUUUUAUGGUUGAGUAGUAUUCCAUUGUAUAUAUAUAUAUACACCACAGUUUCUUUAUCCAUGCUAAAAAUGUGUGUGCCAAUCAAUGAAAAAUUUGUAGCUUAAAAAGACUACAAAAACAAGAGCUCAGGCCCUCUUGCCUCCCCCCCACCCAAAACAAUGAAAACUUACAAUUUAAACUCACAAAGCUUAUGAAACCUAUUACUAAUGAGACAGGAAACGUAGAGAAUCUUGAGAAAAACAUAGCUCAAGGUAAAAAAGGCCUUACUUUCAUAUAUAAUAUUAAUCCUGGCAAUAGAAGGGGAACAAAAGAUUGCAGCACUAAAAUUAAGAGAAAAUCCAACAUGCAAUUAAACUUUAUUAAAUAAAUAAAUCAAGAUAAUGAGGAAAAGUUUAUUGGUACCACUUUCAGUAAUACCAGAUAGUUUAUUUUUUUGAGAAUAACUAGAAAACUAGACAGAGUGAAAAGAAAAUAUGCUUGGCUGGGCGUGGUUGCUCACACUUGUUAAUCUCAGCACUUUGGGAGGCUAAGGCAGGCAGAUCACUUGAGGUCAAGAGUUCCAGACCAGCCUGGCCAACAUAGCGAAACCUCAUGUCUACUAAAAAUACAAAAAUUAGCUGGGUGUGGUGGUGCAUGCCUGUAUUUCCAGCUACUCAGGAGACAGAGGCAUGAGAAUCGGUUGAACCCAAGACGUGGAGGUUGCAGUGAGCCCAGAUCACGCCACUGCACUCCAGCCUGAGUAAUGGCGUGAGACUCUGUCUAAAAAAAAAAAAAAAGGAAAAGAAA